CCCCCGUGAAAUCUAACCUGCGUCUGAAUGAGUCCGCGGCUGCCUGCCGUCCGAGAGGCGACCGCAGCCGUGGACUGAUACG
rnacentral:pre_miRNA from 1 species